rnacentral:piRNA from 1 species
UAAGUGCUCAAGCAAUUGCUUGACGGAUGC